UACGUAGGGUGCAAGCGUUAUCCGGAAUUAUUGGGCGUAAAGAGCUCGUAGGCGGUUUGUCGCGUCGUCUGUGAAAACCAGCAGCUCAACUGUUGGCUUGCAGGCGAUACGGGCAGACUUGAGUACUGCAGGGGAGACUGGAAUUCCUGGUGUAGCGGUGAAAUGCGCAGAUAUCAGGAGGAACACCGGUGGCGAAGGCGGGUCUCUGGGCAGUAACUGACGCUGAGACGCGAAAGCGUGGGGAGCAAACAGG
rnacentral:rRNA from 1 species